rnacentral:rRNA from 1 species
UACGAAGGGGGCUAGCGUUGCUCGGAAUCACUGGGCGUAAAGCGCACGUAGGCGGCUUGUUAAGUCAGGGGUGAAAUCCUGGAGCUCAACUCCAGAACUGCCUUUGAUACUGGCGACCUUGAGUUCGGGAGAGGUGAGUGGAACUGCGAGUGUAGAGGUGAAAUUCGUAGAUAUUCGCAAGAACACCAGUGGCGAAGGCGGCUCACUGGCCCGAUACUGACGCUGAGGCACGAAAGCGUGGGGGAGCAAACAGG